GAUGAACGCUGGCGGCGUGCCUAAUACAUGCCAGUCGAGCGAACGGACGAGAAGAUUGCUUCUCUGAUGUUAGCGGCUGACGGGUGAGUAACACGUGGAUAACCUUCUUAUAUGUCUGGGAUAAUUUCGGGAAACCGGAGCCACUACUGGCUCAUAUUUUCUACCGCAUGGUUCAAAAGUGAAACACGGCUUUGCUGUCACAUUUAGACGGAUUCGCGUUGCAUUAGCUAGUUGGUAAGGUAACGGCUUACCAAGGCAACGAUGCAUAGCCGACCUGAGAGGGUGAUCAGCCACACUGGAACUGAGACACGGUCCAGACUCCUACGGGAGGCAGCAGUGGGGAAUCUUCCGCAAUGGGCGAAAGCCUGACGGAGCAACGCCGCGUGAGUGAUGAAGGUCUUCGGGUCGUAAAACUCUGUUAUUAGGGAAGAACAGAUGUGUAAGUAACUGUGCACAUCUUGACGGUACCUAAUCAGAAAGCCACGGCUAACUACGUG
rnacentral:rRNA from 1 species